AGAGUUUGAUCAUGGCUCAGAUUGAACGCUGGCGGCAGGCCUAACACAUGCAAGUCGAACGGUAGCACAGAGAGCUUGCUCUCGGGUGACGAGUGGCGGACGGGUGAGUAAUGUCUGGGAAACUGCCUGAUGGAGGGGGAUAACUACUGGAAACGGUAGCUAAUACCGCAUAACGUCGCAAGACCAAAGAGGGGGACCUUCGGGCCUCUUGCCAUCAGAUGUGCCCAGAUGGGAUUAGCUAGUAGGUGGGGUAACGGCUCACCUAGGCGACGAUCCCUAGCUGGUCUGAGAGGAUGACCAGCCACACUGGAACUGAGACACGGUCCAGACUCCUACGGGAGGCAGCAGUGGGGAAUAUUGCACAAUGGGCGCAAGCCUGAUGCAGCCAUGCCGCGUGUAUGAAGAAGGCCUUCGGGUUGUAAAGUACUUUCAGCGGGGAGGAAGGUGUUGUGGUUAAUAACCGCAGCAAUUGACGUUACCCGCAGAAGAAGCACCGGCUAACUCCGUGCCAGCAGCCGCGGUAAUACGGAGGGUGCAAGCGUUAAUCGGAAUUACUGGGCGUAAAGCGCACGCAGGCGGUCUGUCAAGUCGGAUGUGAAAUCCCCGGGCUCAACCUGGGAACUGCAUUCGAAACUGGCAGGCUAGAGUCUUGUAGAGGGGGGUAGAAUUCCAGGUGUAGCGGUGAAAUGCGUAGAGAUCUGGAGGAAUACCGGUGGCGAAGGCGGCCCCCUGGACAAAGACUGACGCUCAGGUGCGAAAGCGUGGGGAGCAAACAGGAUUAGAUACCCUGGUAGUCCACGCCGUAAACGAUGUCGAUUUGGAGGUUGUGCCCUUGAGGCGUGGCUUCCGGAGCUAACGCGUUAAAUCGACCGCCUGGGGAGUACGGCCGCAAGGUUAAAACUCAAAUGAAUUGACGGGGGCCCGCACAAGCGGUGGAGCAUGUGGUUUAAUUCGAUGCAACGCGAAGAACCUUACCUGGUCUUGACAUCCACAGAACUUUCCAGAGAUGGAUUGGUGCCUUCGGGAACUGUGAGACAGGUGCUGCAUGGCUGUCGUCAGCUCGUGUUGUGAAAUGUUGGGUUAAGUCCCGCAACGAGCGCAACCCUUAUCCUUUGUUGCCAGCGGUCCGGCCGGGAACUCAAAGGAGACUGCCAGUGAUAAACUGGAGGAAGGUGGGGAUGACGUCAAGUCAUCAUGGCCCUUACGACCAGGGCUACACACGUGCUACAAUGGCGCAUACAAAGAGAAGCGACCUCGCGAGAGCAAGCGGACCUCAUAAAGUGCGUCGUAGUCCGGAUUGGAGUCUGCAACUCGACUCCAUGAAGUCGGAAUCGCUAGUAAUCGUAGAUCAGAAUGCUACGGUGAAUACGUUCCCGGGCCUUGUACACACCGCCCGUCACACCAUGGGAGUGGGUUGCAAAAGAAGUAGGUAGCUUAACCUUCGGGAGGGCGCUUACCACUUUGUGAUUCAUGACUGGGGUGAAGUCGUAACAAGGUAACCGUAGGGGAACCUGCGGUUGGAUCACCUCCUUA
rnacentral:rRNA from 1 species